CAACCUCAACUUGAGCCGAAACGCUAUGGAAGGUAACAUUCCGGAUGUUUUCGGGCUGACAUCUUACUUCACGGUGAUCGAUUUGUCGCAUAACAAGUUAAGGGGUCCGAUCCCGAGAAGUUUGUCGGCGGCAUCUUACAUCGGGCACCUUGAUUUGAGUUACAACCACCUAUGCGGGCGGAUUCCGGCGGGAGCACCGUUCGAUCAUCUGGAAGCAUCCUCCUUCAUGUACAACGAUUGUCUUUGUGGUAAACCGCUUAGAGCUUGUUGAUGACAUGGUUAAUAAAUUUUUAUCUACCGCUUAUAUCUAUUGUAUUAUUGUAAUGAUAAUGUAAACCCUAC
rnacentral:lncRNA from 1 species